UACGUAGGGUCCGAGCGUUGUCCGGAAUUAUUGGGCGUAAAGAGCUCGUAGGCGGUCUGUCGCGUCUGCUGUGAAAACCCGAGGCUCAACCUCGGGCCUGCAGUGGGUACGGGCAGACUAGAGUGCGGUAGGGGAGAAUGGAAUUCCUGGUGUAGCGGUGAAAUGCGCAGAUAUCAGGAGGAACACCGAUGGCGAAGGCAGCUCGCUGGGACGGUACUGACGCUGAGGCGCGAAAGCGUGGGGAGCGAACAGG
rnacentral:rRNA from 1 species